GAAGAAAGAACGAGAACGCUCCUGUAUAACCGCAUAAACUAGUAAUUUCCUGCAAUGUCAAUAUUGAAGGAGCUCGAUCCCUAAAAGACAACAAAUCUCACAAAAAAUGCAGCAAGAACCUGAAAUCGAUAAAGCAACAUCUACAAGAUCUAAAGCAAAAAUGUUAAAAAGGAAG